CUUAACACAUGCAAGUCGAGGGGCAUCAUGAGGUAGCAAUACCUUGAUGGCGACCGGCGCACGGGUGAGUAACACGUAUCCAACCUGCCCUUUACUCGGGGAUAGCCUUUCGAAAGAAAGAUUAAUACCCGAUGGCAUAGUUCUUCCGCAUGGUGGAACUAUUAAAGAAUUUCGGUCAUCGAUGGGGAUGCGUUCCAUUAGGUUGUUGGCGGGGUAACGGCCCACCAAGCCUUCGAUGGAUAGGGGUUCUGAGAGGAAGGUCCCCCACAUUGGAACUGAGACACGGUCCAAACUCCUACGGGAGGCAGCAGUGAGGAAUAUUGGUCAAUGGACGAGAGUCUGAACCAGCCAAGUAGCGUGAAGGAUGACUGCCCUAUGGGUUGUAAACUUCUUUUAUAUAAGAAUAAAGUGCAGUAUGUAUACUGUUUUGUAUGUAUUAUAUGAAUAAGGAUCGGCUAACUCCGUGCCAGCAGCCGCGGUAAUACGGAGGAUCCGAGCGUUAUCCGGAUUUAUUGGGUUUAAAGGGAGCGUAGGUGGAUUGUUAAGUCAGUUGUGAAAGUUUGCGGCUCAACCGUAAAAUUGCAGUUGAAACUGGCAGUCUUGAGUACAGUAGAGGUGGGCGGAAUUCGUGGUGUAGCGGUGAAAUGCUUAGAUAUCACGAAGAACUCCGAUUGCGAAGGCAGCUCACUAGACUGCAACUGACACUGAUGCU
rnacentral:rRNA from 1 species